UACGAAGGGGGCUAGCGUUGUUCGGAAUUACUGGGCGUAAAGCGCACGUAGGCGGACUAUUAAGUCAGGGGUGAAAUCCCGGGGCUCAACCCCGGAACUGCCUUUGAUACUGGUAGUCUCGAGUCCGGAAGAGGUGAGUGGAAUUCCGAGUGUAGAGAUGAAAUUCGUAGAUAUUCGGAGGAACACCAGUGGCGAAGGCGGCUCACUGGUCCGGUACUGACGCUGAGGUGCGAAAGCGUGGGGAGCAAACAGG
rnacentral:rRNA from 1 species